rnacentral:tRNA from 1 species
GUCUCAGUAGCUCAGCUGGAUAGAGCAACGCCCUUCUAAGGCGUCGUUCGGGAGUUCGGAGGAGUAUUUUUGAAAUA